UACGGAGGGUGCAAGCGUUAUCCGGAUUCACUGGGUUUAAAGGGUGCGUAGGCGGGCAUUUAAGUCAGUGGUGAAAUACCUGAGCUUAACUUGGGAACUGCCAUUGAUACUAUUUGUCUUGAAUGUCGUGGAGGUUAGCGGAAUAUGUAAUGUAGCGGUGAAAUGCUUAGAUAUGACAUAGAACACCUAUUGCGAAGGCAGCUAACUACGCGAAUAUUGACGCUGAGGCACGAAAGCGUGGGGAUCAAACAGG
rnacentral:rRNA from 1 species